rnacentral:lncRNA from 1 species
AUCUCAGGAUAUGACAAUAAUCCUUCUCCCCCUCCUCUCUCCACCUCCUUCUCACCCAGAACACAGAUGACUGGGCUAAAGCAAGUGUAGCUGCUUCAAUCUUAGGCAUUCCCAUUUGGUAGGUUCUACUGGUAUCUCAGAAUGAUUUUCCUAGAACCGCCUUUUAUCUGGUUUGGAUUCAUUGCGGAGGACCCUAGGAAGGGAAGGAGAAAGUGCCUUAUUACAAAUCAAAAAUCAUCCAUCACAAUUCUCCUCUACCUUAUCCCAACCUUAUUCUUGGUCCUGUCCUCAAAUACCCUGGUGUUGGAGUGACUGUAGAAUGGCUUAUUCUGCUGCUUCUUAGUCUGCUCCUAUUUGGGGCAGCACUCGUUAUAAUUGAUAUAACAUCUCACUUUUCUAGCUUUGUGGAUUUAGUCACAAUUCCAGGUGAACAUAAAAGUUUCAUUUACAUUCCCAUUACAUUAAUUUGUAGUUAAGUUAAAGACCUAUUUAUUGCUGUGUAACAACCCUUCUCAAAACUUAGUGCACUAAGCAUAAAACACCAGCAUCUCCUGAUGCUCUCAGAUUUGAUGGGUAAGGGACUUGGACAGGGAUGGUUUAUCUCUGCUCCAUGGUGUGGUGACAUGAGCAACAGUGGGCAGGAAUCAUCUGGAGUCCUCUUCCCUCAGAAUGACUUGGUGCCUGGGCUGGAAUGACUUGAAGGCUGGCUACAGCUAGGGCUGCCUCUGUGCCUCACAGGUGGGCUCUCCAUGUGGCCUGGGCUUUCUCACACCUUCACAGCUUUGCCUUAUGUGUCAGCUCAAGGCUCUUAGAGCCAUUGUUCUACCUGAUGUCCAACAGCCUUGCCAACCUUGGACAGUCCAUCUUGAUCCCUUCAUUGAACUCUAUUGAUUGAGGCAGACACAAACCCUCUCAGAAACCAGAAGAAGAGACCAACACCCCACAGGUGCUUUUAUUUAUUUAUUUUUAAUUUUUUGGUCAUUUUUUUAAUACUGUUAUUUCCCCAAUACAAUUUUUUCCCCUACUGUACAGCACAGUGACCUAGUUACACAUGCAUGCUUACAUUAUUUUUUCUCUCAUUAUCAUGCUGUCAUAGGUGGCUAGACAUAAUUCUCAAUGCUUAACAGCAGGAUCUCAUUGUUAAUCCACUCCAAAAUCAAUAGUUUGAAUCCAUUAACCCCAAAUUCCCAAUGCAUCCCAAUCCCUCCCCCUCCCUCUUGGCAACCACAAGUCUGUUCUCCAAAUCCAUGAUUUUCUUUUCUGUGGAAAGGUUCAUUUGUGCUGUAUAUUAGAUUCCAGUUAUCAGUGAUAUCAAUAUGGUGUUUGUCUUUCUGACUUACUUCACUCAGGAUGAGAGCCUCUAGUUCCAUCCAUGUUGCUGCAGAUGCCAUUAUUUUGUUCUUUUUAUGGCUGAGUAGUAUUCCAUUGUGUAUAUAUACCACAUCUUCCUAAUCCAAUCAUCUGUCAAUGGACAUUUGGGUUGUUUCCAUGUCUUGGCUAUUGUGACUAGUGCUGCAAUGAACAUAUGGUGCAUGUAUCUUUUUUAAGGAAAAUUUUGUCUGGAUAUAUGCCCAAGAGUGGGACUGCUGGGUUAUAUGGGAGUUCUAUGUAUAGUUUCCUAAGAUACCUCCAUACUGUUCUCCAUAGUAGUUGUACCAGCUGUAUUACCACCCACAGUGCAGGAGGGUUCCCUUUUCUCCACACCUAGUCCAGCACUUGUUAUUGGUGGACUUAUUAAUGAUGGCCAUUCUGACCAGUGUGAGGUUGUAUCUCAUGGUAUAUGGACUUCCAGUGUCGCUCACACCAAAUGUGCUUUUAGGUUCAAGAAAGGUUCAAGAAGAAAAUCUAUCUUUAUAUCUUUCUCAAAGUACAAAAUGCCUAUCAUAAUAGGACCUAUUGAAAUAGUUGAUAAACCAGUCCAGCUGAUGUACCAUAGUUUGCAAUGAUUUUUUUUUUUUACAUCUAUUGGCAGAUAAUAGGACUGCAUUCCUUAAAGUGCACUUUACAUAGCAAGCAGAAUGUCAAGUGAGCUGGCUCAGGUGAUCAGAGCAGACUUCUCAGUGAGAAGAUAUCUGCACUAUAUUCUAAUUCCAAACCCUUUUUCAUAAAUGUAUAGAAUUUGUUAUAAAUGGGGUCUUGGGUAAAAAGAAUGGUUCAAAUCUAGCUAAUCAACCUAACUAGAAAAUAGCUCAAGGCCAAAGUUCUAUGUCGCUCUUAUAUAUCAAUGUCUUUGAUAAAUAGAGCAAAGUUCUGGGGUUUUUGGAUCAUCCUUUAGCGUUCAUUUCAUUUCCAUGGAACUAGUUCCAGUUACAGGGCAUCUCAGUUAUCUUUUCAGGAAGCCUAGCUCCUGGAUUUAAUAUAACAAUGGAAAAUCCCAGAUUUGUAUCAGAUUAAAAUUAAUCACUCAGUUAAUAUUUUCCAGGCCCAUUUCUUAUUUACUUAAAUUGGUUUAGGUAAUUAGUUGGCUCCCCACCAAUUCUUUACUAAGUUUAGUUUGACGUUUGUUUCAGCAUUGCUAUAAAAUAAAUAAUGGUCCCCCAAAGACCCAGCCCUAAUCCCCAGAACCUGUGAAUGCAUUACACUACGUGAUAAGAGACUUUGCAGAUGUGAUCAAAUUAAGGAUCUUGGUAUGGGGAGAUUAGCCUGGAUUAUCAGAGUGAGCCCAAAAUAAUCACAAGAGUCUUUGUUAAGAGUCAGGAGGGCCAUCAGAUGAGUAGUAGUAAACAGAAGCAAGAGGUCAGAGUGACAUGAAAAAGUCAUGAGCCAAAGAAUGCAUGUGGCCACAAGAAACUCACAAAGGCAAGAAAGUAGUUUCUUCUUUUAUUUCGGAAGGAACCAGUCCUGAUAACACCUUGGCUUUAGAUGGGUGAGCCUGAUUUUGGAUCUCUGACCUCUAGAACAAUAAGAAAAUACAUUUGUGGUGUUCUAAGACAUGAUGUUUGUGGCAUUUUGUUAUAAGAGCAAUAGGAAACUAAUAAAAACAUGCAAGAUAUACAGCUGUACCUUCCCUUAGAUCUGAAAAUUAGUGUUAAUAUUUGAUUCUUACACCCUCUACGUUACCACUGUAAAAGUAUGACCUGUUGUUGGUUUAGAUUUCAUUGAUGGCUUGAGAAAAUAUGGUAUAGGUCUACAUUUGAGAAAACUUUUAAGGAACAAAUCAGAAUUAAAAAUCAGAUAAAGAGUGACUAGUCAUUUUACCAAGGAAUGUUUUGUUUAAUUCCAGACACAUUUACUUCAUGAAUCUUAAAUAUUGAGCCAUACUAAAACAUUUUGAAAGUGAGUCACCUUAGAAGAUUGCAAUCCACUUCCCCAUUUUGGGAGCACAUCUACUGUACAAAUAAAUAAAGCAAGAAAGUAAGGGAUAUAUAAAGAU